rnacentral:rRNA from 1 species
CCAGGCUGUCUCCACCCGAGACUCAGUGAAAUUGAACUCGCUGUGAAGAUGCAGUGUACCCGCGGCAAGACGGAAAGACCCCGUGAACCUUUACUAUAGCUUGACACUGAACAUUGAGCCUUGAUGUGUAGGAUAGGUGGGAGGCUUUGAAGUGUGGACGCCAGUCUGCAUGGAGCCGACCUUGAAAUACCACCCUUUAAUGUUUGAUGUUCUAACGUUGACCCGUAAUCCGGGUUGCGGACAGUGUCUGGUGGGUAGUUUGACUGGGGCGGUCUCCUCCUAAAGAGUAACGGAGGAGCACGAAGGUUGGCUAAUCCUGGUCGGACAUCAGGAGGUUAGUGCAAUGGCAUAAGCCAGCUUGACUGCGAGCGUGACGGCGCGAGCAGGUGCGAAAGCAGGUCAUAGUGAUCCGGUGGUUCUGAAUGGAAGGGCCAUCGCUCAACGGAUAAAAGGUACUCCGGGGAUAACAGGCUGAUACCGCCCAAGAGUUCAUAUCGACGGCGGUGUUUGGCACCUCGAUGUCGGCUCAUCACAUCCUGGGGCUGAAGUAGGUCCCAAGGGUAUGGCUGUUCGCCAUUUAAAGUGGUACGCGAGCUGGGUUUAGAACGUCGUGAGACAGUUCGGUCCCUAUCUGCCGUGGGCGCUGGAGAACUGAGGGGGGCUGCUCCUAGUACGAGAGGACCGGAGUGGACGCAUCACUGGUGUUCGGGUUGUCAUGCCAAUGGCACUGCCCGGUAGCUAAAUGCGGAAGAGAUAAGUGCUGAAAGCAUCUAAGCACGAAACUUGCCCCGAGAUGAGUUCUCCCUGACUCCUUGAGAGUCCUGAAGGAACGUUGAAGACGACGACGUUGAUAGGCCGGGUGUGUAAGCGCAGCGAUGCGUUGAGCUAACCGGUACUAAUGAACCGUGAGG